UGAGGAAUAUUGCGCAAUGGAGGCAACUCUGACGCAGCCAUGCCGCGUGCAGGAAGAAGGCGCUACGCGUUGUAAACUGCUUUUAUCCGGGAAGAAACCCCUCCACGCGUGGAGGGUUGACGGUACCGGAGGAAUAAGCACCGGCUAACUUCGUGCCAGCAGCCGCGGUAAUACGAAGGGUGCAAGCGUUAUCCGGAUUCAUUGGGUUUAAAGGGUGCGUAGGCGGGAUAGCAAGUCAGUGGUGAAAUCCCGUGGCUUAACCACGGAAUUGCCAUUGAUACUGCUGUUCUUGAGUACGCUCGACGUGGGCGGAAUGUGCCGUGUAGCGGUGAAAUGCUUAGAUAUGGCACAGAACACCGAUAGUGAAGACAGCUCACGAGGGCGAAACUGACGCUGAGGCACGAAAGCGUGGGGAUCAAAC
rnacentral:rRNA from 1 species